ACCCGCUGAAUUUAAGCAUAUCAAUAAGCGGAGGAAAAGAAACCAACAGGGAUUGCCUUAGUAACGGCGAGUGAAGCGGCAAAAGCUCAAAUUUGAAAUCUGGCACCUUCGGUGUCCGAGUUGUAAUUUGAAGAAGGUAACUUUGGAGUUGGCUCUUGUCUAUGUUCCUUGGAACAGGACGUCACAGAGGGUGAGAAUCCCGUGCGAUGAGAUGCCCAAUUCUAUGUAAAGUGCUUUCGAAGAGUCGAGUUGUUUGGGAAUGCAGCUCUAAGUGGGUGGUAAAUUCCAUCUAAAGCUAAAUAUUGGCGAGAGACCGAUAGCGAACAAGUACAGUGAUGGAAAGAUGAAAAGAACUUUGAAAAGAGAGUGAAAAAGUACGUGAAAUUGUUGAAAGGGAAGGGCUUGAGAUCAGACUUGGUAUUUUGCGAUCCUUUCCUUCUUGGUUGGGUUCCUCGCAGCUUACUGGGCCAGCAUCGGUUUGGAUGGUAGGAUAAUGACUAAGGAAUGUGGCUCUACUUCGGUGGAGUGUUAUAGCCUUGGUUGAUACUGCCUGUCUAGACCGAGGACUGCGUCUUUUGACUAGGAUGUUGGCAUAAUGAUCUUAAGCCACCCGUCUUGAAACACGGACCAAGGAG
rnacentral:rRNA from 1 species